GAGAAGUCGUAACAAGGUUUCCGUA
rnacentral:rRNA from 1 species